rnacentral:rRNA from 1 species
AGUGAACGCUGGCGGUAGGCCUAACACAUGCAAGUCGAACGGCAGCACAGUAAGAGCUUGCUCUUACGGGUGGCGAGUGGCGGACGGGUGAGGAAUACAGCGGAAUCUACUUUUUCGUGGGGGGUAACGUAGGGAAACUUACGCUAAUACCGCAUACGACCUACGGGUGAAAGCAGGGGAUCUUCGGACCUUGCGCGAUUGAAUGAGCCGAUGUCGGAUUAGCUAGUUGGCGGGGUAAAGGCCCACCAAGGCGGCGAUCCGUAGCUGGUCUGAGAGGAUGAACAGCCACACUGGAACUGAGCCACGGUCCAGAGUCCUACGGGAGGCAGCAGUGGGGAAUAUUGGACAAUGGGCGCAAGCCUGAUCCAGCCAUACCGCGUGGGUGAAGAAGGCCUUCGGGUUGUAAAGCCCUUUUGUUGGGAAAGAAAAGCAGCAGGUUAAUACCCCGCUGUUCUGACGGUACCCAAAGAAUAAGCACCGGCUAACUUCGUG